CCAAGGGGCCGCGUGCGCCGGAGACUCUCCCCGCCCCGCAACCGGGAAACGUCCAGAACCCCGAAAUGUGGAGAAAACACAACCUUCUUUUCACGGGGGCGUGGCCCGCCGGUUGCAGUACGCGAAAUUGGCAAAAUGAUGUAAACAGGGAAGUUCGGCAGAUUUCAGUUCAUUGUAAACUUGCCAAGGGAGCCGACCACAGACACGAGAGAGCUGCUUUGGGACAGUGAAUUACUCUUCUUUUGAGACGGUCUAAUGAUGCCUGGGUGGUGCCUUCGUAGGACGGUCAUCACACCUGAACAAGGGGGUCCCCGGCCCCGGGCCCCAUGCUUUACUGGGCCCUGUUCUGUCCCUCUUCUGGCAUCAUCUCCCAUGGAGAAAAGAAUGUGUUGAAGCCAAGAAGAUGCUCCCCCCAAGAAUAUCAUCUCUGCUAGAACAGGGGCUGGAGUGUAACGGCGUGAUCUCGGCUCACUGCACCCUCGACUUCCUGGAUUCAGGUGAUCCCCUCACCUCAGCCUCCCCAGUAGCUGGUGUGUCCGGAAUUGGUGGGUUCUUGGUCUCACUGACUUCAAGAAUGAAGCCGCGGACCCUCACGGUGAGUGUUACAGUUCUUAAAGGUGGCGUGUCCGGAGUUUGUUCCUUCUGAUGUUCAGAUGUGUUCGGAGUUUCUUCCUUCUGGUGGGUUUGUGGUCUCGCUGGCUCAGGAGUGAAGCUGCAGACCUUCGUGGUGAGUGUUACAGCUCUUAAGGCAGCGCGUCUCAAGUUGUUCAUUCCUCCCGGGGGGUUCGUGGUCUCAUUGGCUUCAGCAGUGAAGCUGCAGACCUUCGUGGUGAGUGUUACAGCUCAUAAAGGCAGUGUGGACCCAAAGAGUGAGCAGCAGCAAGAUUUAUUGCAAAGAAAGACAAAGCUUCCACAGUAUGGAAGGGGACCCAAACAGGUUGCCACUGCUGGCUCAGGCAGCCUGCUUUUAUUCUCUUAUCUGGCCCCACCCACAUCCUGCUGAUUGGUAGAGCCAAGUGGUCUGUUUUGACAGGGCGCUGAUUGGUGUGUUUACAAUCCCUGAGCUAGACACAAAGGUUCUCCACCUCCCCACCAGAGUAGCUAGAUACAGAGUGUCGAUUCGUGCAUUCACAAACCCGGAGCUAGACACACGGUGCCAAUUGGUGCAUUUACAAUCCCUUAGCUAGACAUAAAGGUUCUGCAGGUCCCCACUAAACUCAGGAGCCCAGCUGGCUUCACCCAGUGGAUCCCGCACCUGGGCUGCAGGUGGAGCUGCCUGCCACUCCCAUGCCGUGCACCCGCACUCCUCAGCCCUUGGGUCGUCGAUGGGACUGGGCACCGUGGAGCAGGGGGCAGCGCUUGUCGGGGAGGCUCCAGCAGCACAGCACCCCACAGAGAGGGGGAGGCUCAGGCAUGGCGGGCUGCAGGUCCCGAGCCCUGCCCCGCGGGGAGGCAGCUAAGGCCCGGCGAGAAAUCGAGCCUAGUGCCGGUAGGCGGCCCUGCUCCGAGUACGGGGCCUCCACAGCCGCUGGCCCUGGUGCUAAGCCCCUCAUUGCGUGGGGUCGGCAGGGCCCGCCGCCUGCUCCGAGUGUGGGGCCCGCCAAGCCCACGCACACGUGGAGCUCCAGCUGGCCCUCAAGCGCCCGCACACCCCCGGUUCCCGCUCGUGCCUCUCCCUCCACACCUCCUUGCAAGCUGAGGGAGCCAGCUCCGGCCUUGGCCAGCCCAGAAAGGGGCUCCCACAGUGCAGCGGUGGGCUGAAGGGCUCCUCAAGUGCUGCCAAAGUGGGAGCCCAGGCAGAGGAGGUGCCGAGAGCGAGUGAGGCCUCUGAGGACUGCCAGCACGCUGUCACCUCUCACUGGGACUACAGGUGAGCACCCACACACCCGGCUAAUUUUUUUUAUUUUUUGGUAGAGAUGGGGUCUCCCUAUGUUGCCCAAGCUCAUUUAGAACUCCUGGGCUCAAGCAAUCCACCUGCCUCAGCCUCCCCAAGUGCUAGGAUUAUAGGCAUGAGCCACCGCCCCCAGCCUCAAAGUUGUUUUUUAAAAAUGUAAUUAUCUAUUCCCUUUAAGGCACAUAAUUUUCUGAAUGAACCUCUACCCUAUUAGGUGGGUAGGAGUUGGGUGAGACUUAAACUUGAAAUGAUAAUGCCUAAAGUUUGUGCAGUUUAAACCCCAGGGGUCCCCAUCACCUGGGCCAUGGACCAGUACUACAUUGGCUAUAUUUGAAGAAUUGUCUUGGGCCACACAUAAAAUACGUUAACAUUAAUGAUAGCUGGUGAGCUAAAAAAAAAAAAAAAAAAAUCGCAAAGGCAAUCUCACGUUUUAAGAAAGUUUAUGAAUUUGUGUUGGGCUGCAUCCAAAGCCUUCCUGGGCCACAGGCACCAUAGGCUGUGGGUUGGACAAGCUUGUUAUAGGCCUCAUAUGUGGUGGGGCUGCUGUUUUAAAAGUCUCAUCAGUGCAGAUUUUACUUAUUGCAUGAAGAUUGAUAUUUAAGUUGAG